GACGAACGCUGGCGGCGUGCUUAACACAUGCCAGUCGAACGGAAAGGCCCUGCUUUUGGGGGGUGCUCGAGUGGCGAAAGGAUGAGUAACACGUGAGUAACCUGCCCUUGACUUUGGGAUAACUUCAGGAAACUGGGGCUAAUACCGGAUAGGAGCUCCUGCUGCAUGGUGGGGGUUGGCAAGUUUCGGCGGUUGGGGAUGGACUCGCGGCUUAUCAGCUUGUUGGUGGGGUAGUGGCUUACCAAGGCUUUGACGGGUAGCCGGCCUGAGAGGGUGACCGGCCACAUUGGGACUGAGAUACGGCCCAGACUCCUACGGGAGGCAGCAGUGGGGAAUAUUGCACAAUGGGCGGAAGCCUGAUGCAGCAACGCCGCGUGCGGGAUGACGGCCUGCGGGUUGUAAACCGCUUUCGCCUGUGACGAAGCGUGAGUGACGGUAAUGGGUAAAGAAGCACCGGCUAACUACGUG
rnacentral:rRNA from 1 species